rnacentral:rRNA from 1 species
CCUACGGGUGGCAGCAGUGAGGAAUAUUGGUCAAUGGACGAGAGUCUGAACCAGCCAAGUAGCGUGAAGGAUGACUGCCCUAUGGGUUGUAAACUUCUUUUAUAAAGGAAUAAAACGAGGCACGUGUGCCUUUUUGCAUGUACUUUAUGAAUAAGGAUCGGCUAACUCCGUGCCAGGAGCCGGGGUAAUACGGAGGAUCCGAGCGUUAUCCGGAUUUUUUGGGUUUAAAGGGAGCGUAGAUGGGUUGUUAAGUCAGUUGUGAAAGUUUGCGGGUCAACCGUAAAAUUGCAAUUGAUACUGGCAGUCUUGAGUACAGUUGAGGUAUGCGGAAUUCGUGGUGUAGCGGUGAAAUGCUUAGAUAUCACGAAGAACCCCGAUUGCGAAGGCAGCUUACUAAACUGUGACUGACAUUGAUGCUCGAAAGUGUGGGUAUCAAACAGGAUUAGAUACCCUUGUAGUC